rnacentral:rRNA from 1 species
UGGGCAACCUGCCCCAGACUCUGGGAUAACUCCGGGAAACCGGAGCUAAUACCGGAUACGACCAACUCAGGCAUCUGAUGUUGGUGGAAAGUUUUUCGGUCUGGGAUGGGCCCGCGGCCUAUCAGCUUGUUGGUGGGGUAAUGGCCUACCAAGGCGACGACGGGUAGCCGGCCUGAGAGGGCGACCGGCCACACUGGAACUGAGACACGGCCCAGACUCCUACGGGAGCA